rnacentral:misc_RNA from 1 species
GUGAAUCAUCGAAUUUUUGAACGCAAAUUGCACUCUCUUCGGAGAGUAUGCCUGUUUGAGGGUCAGCCUAAAAAAAAUAGACAUAUGCGCUGUUUCGCGGUAACAUUCGUCGGAAAUUGGGUAAUUUUAAACUUUUGGGUUUUAAGCGAUUAAAAAUUUUCUUUACAAUUCCACAACCGUUUCUAAGAUUUACUUCUUACACGUUUAAGGUAAUCGAUCUUUAUUAGACGUGGCCGUUGCACCGGAUCGCGCCCAU